UCCUGCAGUCGUCACCUGUGCCUGUGGACGAUUCUACUGCGGUUCUGGUGAGCGAAAGUGCAGACGUCCUCGGCUCUUGCAGAUCCCUCCAGGCGGGGAAGAGUCCGGAGAGCUGGCGUGGGCCACCCACAAGGUUCAGGUGUCUGCCGCUGCUCCAUCCUCGAUGCGUGGAGUCUUUGGGAGUGGAAUCAGCUUCUCUGCCCAUCCCGGAGGAGGGUCUCGGUGAAGACCCUGGGAUGGGGAGGGGGCCAUGUGAGAACGGGGUUAGGGGUCCACUAUCUUGUCCUAAACAAGCUACAGGUCAGUCUGGCCUGCUUCCCAGGCUAUGACGCUGUAGGUGUGUCCCCUGUGUUAGUGCCAGGUCAGGGAGAUUGGACCUGGGGCAUCUAGAUGUCACCUUUCCACCCCCGCUCUCUGUUGAGGUUUGUGAGGGAUCAGAGCCAUCCUCCACAGGAACAAAUGUCUGAAUUGGUGAGGACAGAAGUCUUGGGGAGCUGCACUCAUCAUGAAUUUGGAAAUACAGCUUGGUCGCUUGCCUUGCGGGGAAAACAUACAGAAUUGCCUGGCUGAAUGCAACGGCAAAGACCAAGAGACUAGAGCUAGUCUUGAAGUUUGGAGUCUUGGUGUGUGACAAGGCUUGUGUGUGUGGUGUGUAUGUGUGUGCGCGUGCGUGCCUGUGUGUAUAUGUGUGUAGGGGGGAGUGGGGGUGGCCUUUUUACACAUUGUGGGCUAAUGACCUUGUGUGGCUCCCUUGAGCUCUGGGAUCUUCCAAGAGCCUGGAGUGAUGUAAUGGGAAGAGACAUUUCCCCCAUGACCCAGGGCUUGUUGGCUCCCUGAAUUUCUGGCGGUGUAGCCUGGUUUCUCCUUUUCUCUUUAGUUCUCUGAUCUAUAUAUACAACUCAUUUUGAUUAUAUUCACCACUGAAAAUUCUGUCCCCAGUCCACCUAUCUUUGUGACCUAUCUUUCUUUUUUGUUUCAAAACCCUUUAAGACUAACUUAUGCUGAAUUCAAUAUUCUUGAAUAUUUCAUUGGAUUGUUAUUGGCUUACCUCGGGCUAUAUACUCUUAGAGAAACCCUUCUCCUCCUCUCCCAGCAGCUAGUAAUUGCCGUAGCUUGGUACUAGGUAUUUGGUGCCGAACUCUUGUCUCUGUGCUGAGAUUUGUUCUGGUUUGGGCUUGCACGGGUCUUGUGCAUGGUGUUGUAACUGCAGUGAGCUUGUAUGUACAGUUGCCCUAUUGUCUGUACUGGCUGGUUUUGUGUGUCAACUUGACACAGGCUGGAGUUAUCACAGAGAAAGACGCUUCAGUUGGGAAGUGCCUUCAUGAGAUCCAGCUGUGGGGCAUUUUUUUGGUUGAUGAUCAAGGGGGGAGGGCCUAUUGUGGGUGGUGCCAUCUCUGGGCUGGUAGUCUUGGGUUCUAGAAGAGAGCAAGUUGAGCAAGCCAGGGGAAGCAAGCCAGUAAGAAACAUCCCUCCAUGGCCUCUGCAUCAGCUCCUGCUUCCUGAUCUGCUUGAGUUCCAGUCCUGACUUCCUUUGGUGAUGAACAGCAAUGUGGAAAGUGUAAGCUGAAUAAACCCUUUCCUCUCCAACUUGCUUAUUGGUCAUAUUUGUGCAGGAAUACAAACCCUGACUAAGACACAUUGGUACCAGGAAUGGGGUAUUCUUGUGACAACCUGAUGAUGUUUUGGGGAGGACUGUGGAAGGACUUUGGAACUUUGGGCUAGAAGAUCCAUUCGGUAUUAAGAGCUCUGUGGGAUGUUGUAUAGGAGCUUGGAAGAUAAUGUUGAGAACAGUGCACAAGAUGGAGGCCUGGCUUGUGAAAUUUCAGAGGGAAGACUAAAGACUCUUAUCAGUGCCGCUGCUAUUUUUAUUGUGAAGAUUCUGUGGUUUUGGUUAGCUGGGGCUGAAGAAUCUGCUGUAAAUAACAAGAUACCAGAACUACUAAAGUGAAAACUUUGCAUUACUGGGACUAUUGAUGCUGGUGAGCUGGAGCUAAGAAAUUGAGAUGGCUCAGGGGGUAAGAGCACUGACUGCUCUUCUGAGUUCAAAUCCCAGCAACCACAUGGUGGCUUACAACCACCCGCAAUGAGAUCUGACACCGUCUUCUGGUGUGUCUGAAGACAGCUACAGUGUACUUAUUUAUAAUAAUAAAUAAAUCUUUGGCCAGAUCGAGUGGGCUUGACCUGAGUGAGCAGAAAUCUUAAAUUCAAUUCCCAAUAACCAGAUGAAGGCUCACAACUAUCUGUACAGCUACAGUGUGUACUCAUACACAUAAAAUAAAUAAAUAAAUCU
rnacentral:lncRNA from 1 species